ensembl:snoRNA
CAGGCCCUGAAUCAAGACCAAUGGUUUGCUGUAACUGUUGGUUUCAAACAGGAGCCCAGAAGAAUGUCUCCCCAUGGUCUGUUGGUCAUUCUAAAUCUUUUUGUGGGGAAUGACCAGUUCAGUUGGAAGAAACAAAA